CCUGGUGACUCCCGCCUGAAUAUAUAGGGCGGGUAGAGGGAACGUGGGGAAGUGAAACAUCUCAGUACCCACAGGAAGAGAAAGCAAAAGCGAUUCCGUGAGUAGUGGCGAGCGAAACCGGAAGAGGCUAAACCUAGCGUGUGUGAUAGCCGGCAGGUGUUGCAUGUUGGGGGUUGUGGGACUUUUCUGAUUGUUCUGCCGAGCAGUCGACGUGACAAGAGGGUAUAGACGAACGGUUUUGAAUGGCCGGUCAUAGAGGGUGCGAACCCCGUAGUCGAAAUGCCUGUUCUUGGCGUGAAGAGUAUCCCAAGUAGCACGGGGCCCGAGAAAUCCCGUGUGAAUCUGUCAGGACCACCUGAUAAGCCUAAAUACUCCCAGAUGACCGAUAGCGGACAAGUACCGUGAGGGAAAGGUGA
rnacentral:rRNA from 1 species